UUACGGCCGUAUCACAUUGAAACACCGGUCCUCGUCCACUCACCGAAGUUAAGCAACGUCGAGCAUGAUUAGUAAUUAGAUGGGUAACCGCAUGGGAAUACCAGGUGCCGUAA